AUGCAAGUCGAGCGGAUGAGAGGAGCUUGCUCCUGGAUUCAGCGGCGGACGGGUGAGUAAUGCCUAGGAAUCUGCCUGGUAGUGGGGGACAACGUUUCGAAAGGAACGCUAAUACCGCAUACGUCCUACGGGAGAAAGCAGGGGACCUUCGGGCCUUGCGCUAUCAGAUGAGCCUAGGUCGGAUUAGCUAGUUGGUGAGGUAAUGGCUCACCAAGGCGACGAUCCGUAACUGGUCUGAGAGGAUGAUCAGUCACACUGGAACUGAGACACGGUCCAGACUCCUACGGGAGGCAGCAGUGGGGAAUAUUGGACAAUGGGCGAAAGCCUGAUCCAGCCAUGCCGCGUGUGUGAAGAAGGUCUUCGGAUUGUAAAGCACUUUAAGUUGGGAGGAAGGGUUGUAGAUUAAUACUCUGCAAUUUUGACGUUACCGACAGAAUAAGCACCGGCUAACUCUGUGCCAGCAGCCGCGGUAAUACAGAGGGUGCAAGCGUUAAUCGGAAUUACUGGGCGUAAAGCGCGCGUAGGUGGUUUGUUAAGUUGGAUGUGAAAUCCCCGGGCUCAACCUGGGAACUGCAUCCAAAACUGGCAAGCUAGAGUAUGGUAGAGGGUGGUGGAAUUUCCUGUGUAGCGGUGAAAUGCGUAGAUAUAGGAAGGAACACCAGUGGCGAAGGCGACCACCUGGACUGAUACUGACACUGAGGUGCGAAAGCGUGGGGAGCAAACAGGAUUAGAUACCCUGGUAGUCCACGCCGUAAACGAUGUCAACUAGCCGUUGGGAGCCUUGAGCUCUUAGUGGCGCAGCUAACGCAUUAAGUUGACCGCCUGGGGAGUACGGCCGCAAGGUUAAAACUCAAAUGAAUUGACGGGGGCCCGCACAAG
rnacentral:rRNA from 1 species